rnacentral:rRNA from 1 species
CCUACGGGAGGCUGCAGUGGGGAAUAUUGGACAAUGGGCGAAAGCCUGAUCCAGCCAUGCCGCGUGAGUGAUGAAGGCCUUAGGGUUGUAAUGCUCUUUUAGCGGGGACGAUAAUGACGGUACCCGCAGAAUAAGCCCCGGCUAACUUCGUGCCAGCAGCCGCGGUAAUACGAAGGGGGCUAGCGUUGUUCGGAAUUACUGGGCGUAAAGCGCACGUAGGCGGACUGUCAAGUCAGGGGUGAAAUCCCGGGGCUCAACCUCGGAACUGCCUUUGAUACUGUCAGUCUAGAGUCCGGAAGAGGUGGGUGGAAUUCCUAGUGUAGAGGUGAAAUUCGCAGAUAUUAGGAAGAACACCGGUGGCGAAGGCGGCCCACUGGUCCGGAACUGACGCUGAGGUGCGAAAGCGUGGGGAGCAAACAGGAUUAGAUACCCUAGUAGUC